rnacentral:tRNA from 1 species
UGGAUCACCUCCUAACAGGGAGACAACAAAAUGUUUAAUAUUAUUAUUUUGUCACCUUAGGUCGAUCGGUAUCUCACAUUCUUAAUUUAUUAAGGAUUUUAUUUCCUAAGUUUUUUCUAGGUCACACCCAUUACUUUUCCUGGGCCAUUAGCUCAGGUGGUUAGAGCGCACCCCUGAUAAGGGUGAGGUCCCUGGUUCAAGUCCAGGAUGGCCCAUAUCUCUAUGUUGGGGGUAUAGCUCAGUUGGUAGAGCGCCUGCUUUGCAAGCAGGAUGUCAGCGGUUCGAGUCCGCUUACCUCCACUGAUUACCACCUCUUCCAUAAUUAUUUAAGGAAAUGUUUUGAGUAGUGAUCAAAUUCUGAACGAAUCUAGCUUCCUAAUGAAUUCAUUAAGAUGCUGGACUCAUUGAAUUAUUUUCAUUGUUUUCAGAGAACCUUGACAACUGCAUAGAUUAUUUUUAAAGACAAUAAGCAUCUUUAUGAUGCAGAUUUAUUAUUUGUGCGAAUGCAUUAAUAACAAUUCUAUUAAGCUGAUGCUUCAAUUAUGAAGUUAUUGGUCAAGCUACAAAGGGCUCAUGGAGGAUACCUAGGCACACAGAGGCGAUGAAGG